rnacentral:rRNA from 1 species
GACGAAGGUGGCUAGCGUUGUUCGGAAUCACUGGGCUUAAAGAGCACGUAGGCGGCCUGUUAAGCACCUUGUGAAAUCCCCCGGCUUAACUGGGGAAUUGCUUGGUGUACUGGCAGGCUUGAGGCAAGUAAGGGUGCGUGGAACUCUUGGUGGAGCGGUGAAAUGCGUAGAUAUCAAGAGGAACGCCGGAGGCGAAAGCGACGCACUGGGCUUGUCCUGACGCUGAGGUGCGAAAGCCAGGGGAG